rnacentral:rRNA from 1 species
UAGUCCACGCUGUAAACGAUGUCUACUAGCUGUUUGUGACUAUAUGUCGUGAGUAGCGCGGCUAACGCACUAAGUAGACCGCCUGGGGAGUACGGCCGCAAGGUUAAAACUCAAAUGAAUUGACGGGGGCCCGCACAAGCGGUGGAGCAUGUGGUUUAAUUCGAUGCAACGCGAAGAACCUUACCAUCCCUUGACAUCCAGAGAAUCUGUUAGAGAUAGUAGAGUGCCUUCGGGAACUCUGAGACAGGUGGUGCAUGGCUGUCGUCAGCUCGUGUCGUGAGAUGUUGGGUUAAGUCCCGCAACGAGCGCAACCCUUGUCUUUAGUUGCCAUCAUUUAGUUGGGCACUCUAGAGAAACUGCCGGUGACAAACCGGAGGAAGGUAAGGAUGACGUCAAGUCAGCAUGCCCCUUACGCUCUGGGCUACACACGUGCUACAAUGGUCGUGACAAAGNGUUGCUAGUCUGCGAAGGCAAGCCAAUCUCAUAACG